CUUUUGCAGACCGCGUUAAGGAUUGAAGUGACAUCCUUUUUUAAUUUUUUCUAUUAAAAAAGAUAUAACGGAAAGCUUGACCACGA
rnacentral:sRNA from 1 species